rnacentral:rRNA from 1 species
AUUGAACGCUGGCGGCAGGCCUAACACAUGCAAGUCGAACGGUAACAGGAAACAGCUUGCUGUUUCGCUGACGAGUGGCGGACGGGUGAGUAAUGUCUGGGAAACUGCCUGAUGGAGGGGGAUAACUACUGGAAACGGUAGCUAAUACCGCAUAACGUCGCAAGACCAAAGAGGGGGACCUUCGGGCCUCUUGCCAUCGGAUGUGCCCAGAUGGGAUUAGCUAGUAGGUGGGGUAACGGCUCACCUAGGCGACGAUCCCUAGCUGGUCUGAGAGGAUGACCAGCCACACUGGAACUGAGACACGGUCCAGACUCCUACGGGAGGCAGCAGUGGGGGAUAUUGCACAAUGGGCGCAAGCCUGAUGCAGCCAUGCCGCGUGUAUGAAGAAGGCCUUCGGGUUGUAAAGUACUUUCAGCGGGGAUGAAGGGAGUAAAGUUAAUACCUUUGCUCAUUGACGUUACCCGCAGAAGAAGCACCGGCUAACUCCGUG